ACAGACUGCUUUUUAAGUGUAUUUAGAGCCCCACAGCACUUUAGCAUUAGGUGGCAAGGCUUCCUGGAGCUCAAGUUCUGACAACUGGGAUCAGCAAUUCUCUGGCUAGGGCUGGUUUUACUACUCCCUCUGUGGGUUGGCAUCAGCUGAGUUUGGUCUGAUUUUGCUUUCUGCUAUAACAGGUCAUCACUGAGAUUUAUACAAUAAAACCAGGUGAGCACUUGGGAUAUUUCAGAUGUUUCCCUGUUGUAAUGAAGCUUUUUAAAAAUGCUUUGCAAGUCUUUGGAUGUUUCCUUGCCUCGAACAUUGGACUCCAAGUUCUUCAGUUUUGGGACUCCGACUGGCUCUCCUUGCUUCUUGCUUCUCAGCCUGCAGGCAGCCUAUUGUGGGACCUUGUGAUUGUUUGUUUUUCAGUGACCCUCCAGAGGACUAAAGGAAAGUUUUGCUUCGCCCCUACAGUUUUGGCACUGUGAGCAGUAUACCAAAACUACUCCACCCUUCCGAAAGCCACAGUGAAGAAAACCCAAGGCCUGACAAGCCAGCAGAAGUGCAAAAAAGUUUUACCAAUCAGGUCAUUAGCCUCUAGCUCUGUGGAAUCUGGUUGAGUUCAUGGUAAAACUCACUGUUUUUCACUUUUUCCUCUCCAAAAUUAUGAUUAAUGGAAGAAAACUAUUUGCGUGACUAGUAUCAGAUAUAGUUCUUCUGUUUUAGUUUUUGCUCUAAGUAUUCAUAUUAGCUGAUACUUUUCCUCCUAGAAAUAUUGUUUUCCUUUGUCUUUUUCUGUCUUGUUAUGUCAAAGAGAAGUAUCAUAGGGUAAAACAUAGGCUUAAAACCUCCAUUAACGCAUUUUUCAAGCUGACCCUGCACACUGGUCAGUUUUGUGUUUCUGACCACACCAGAGUCUAUUUAGACAAACUUGUUGUAGGUCCCCAAAAUAAAAACCAGAUGAGCUUCCCCUCUCUUGUUCUAUGUCACUGAGAGCUUGACUAGUAAUCAAGUGGGAGAACGCUUUUCUAGUCUCCAUCAUUUAUGGGGUGUGACUUUGGGGUGAAGUCUAGUGGUAAGUCUGUAAUAUGGCUGGGAACCUGAGACAUCUGAGAUUUUAAGCAGCACCCUCUUUGCUCUGAAUGUGCUAGUGUCUCAAGGGAGUCUGUCUUAAGACGUCCCAUCCAUAAGGGGCUUCUGUCAGCUCAAUCAUUUUUGCCUGAUUACUCCUGGGAAAGUCUAAUCCCAAGAGGGCCUACCAGGCAUCAAAUUAAUGGGUCUGUAACUGUAAGCUUCCCACAAAUUUGUAAAGUACUGAAGGAAUGACACUCACAAAUACCAUACUUAACCAUCUGUGACAACAAGAGGCUUUUUCUAUCUUAGCCUAUUUCUGAGAGUGAAUUAUUAGGAGAUUAUUGGAACCGCCUCUUUUAUGCCCCCUCCAGGAACACCUCUUUGUUAUAUAGUAAAAACUUAUUCUGUACUUGGAAAAUUACCUCCUGCACUUUCCAUUAAGACAUGUAUUGAAUUGAGUUGCUAUUGAAAUAAGC
rnacentral:lncRNA from 1 species